AAGUCGUAACAAGGUUUCCGUAGGUGAACCUGCGGAAGGAUCAUUAGCGAGAGCCUGCCGCAGACUCGUGCGAGUCUGUGUGCACGCGCGCCAUCCUUGUGUUGUGUGUGACGUGUUGUGUGCGCAAUGCCACUGUUGCCAAGGUGGCGGUGGCGUCUGCGCAUGCGCAUUUUUUUCACUCCAUUUCAUUGCAUUUAUUCUAAUUACUGCUGCUCGCAUGAGCACAAACAACCGAAAACUGCCAGCAAUGGAUCACUUGGUUCUC
rnacentral:misc_RNA from 1 species